rnacentral:rRNA from 1 species
GUGGGGAAUCUUCCGCAAUGGACGAAAGUCUGACGGAGCAACGCCGCGUGAGUGAAGAAGGUUUUCGGAUCGUAAAGCUCUUUCGUUAGGGACGAACGUGCUCUUUGUGAAUAAUGAGGAGUAAUGACGGUACCUAAAUAAGAAGCCACGGCUAACUACGUGCCAGCAGCCGCGGUAAUACGUAGGUGGCAAGCGUUGUCCGGAAUUAUUGGGCGUAAAGCGCUCGCAGGCGGGAUAUCAAGUCUGUCUUAAAAGUGCGAGGCUCAACCUCGUGAGGGGACAGAAACUGGUAUUCUUGAGUGUCGGAGAGGAAAGUGGAAUUCCAAGUGUAGCGGUGAAAUGCGUAGAGAUUUGGAAGAACACCAGUGGCGAAGGCGACUUUCUGGACGAUGUCUGACGCGGAGGCGCGAAAGCUAGGGGAGCGAACGGGAUUAGAAACCCUAGUAGUCC